GGCUUUUGGUUGAUUUUCCCAGUUGAGCUGAGGCCAUGGAGACAAGAGGACAUCUGUGGACAGGAAGCCAGGCCAACAAGGCAGCCCAGAAAGCAGAAGACAGAGCCAUGUGUUCACUGGCCCAGGAGUGACAGCCUACUACACAGAUCGGAGGAAACAAAUGUGAAGAUGUUCAAAAAUCCAAAGCCAAGACGAAGGGGCUAUUCUCAACCUAUUGACCACAUCACAAGAAUGAAGACCCAGAUGACCACACCCCGGCCUCUUCUUCACAGAAAUAACUCAUGAAAUACCAUAUCCUCUAUAAACUCUUUCCUCUUUCAGAAAACUGCUCAUUUGAUCCCAUCCCAGAUGGCCUACAUGUAGCUUCUCCACCAAAUUUCUCAUCACACCAUGCCUUGGUUUGCUGCACAUUUAUAACGGCAAAUUUGCUUCAAGCAUGUUCACUUUAUUAGUCAUUUACUCAAGUGCACAUCUGUGGGAUAUAUUGUGUGCAUUCUGACUUAUGACAAACCACAAGGAUAUUGGGUACAUGCCUCACUAGCUCAGCAUGUGUAUUUUCUAAUAGUGUCUCUAUGUAAUAAAUGUUCUAUAGUUUCAAAAAAAUAAUGAGUGGAAAUAUGCACAAAUCAUAAAGGGCAGGCUCUGAUCAUCCUUUUUGACUCUUACAGCCAAGUUUUUAUGAGUCUAUUUGCAAAGGAGUAUGUCUCUUUAAUUUUUCUAUAAGUUUUUUCCUCUUUUUUCAAAAUAAAAGUCU